rnacentral:tRNA from 1 species
AAAGAAUUAGUUAAUAAAUAAUAUUAAAAUGUCAAUUUAAAGUAAUUAAAAUUAAAUUAAUAUUCUUUU